rnacentral:rRNA from 1 species
UACGAAGGGGGCUAGCGUUGCUCGGAAUCACUGGGCGUAAAGGGUGCGUAGGCGGGUCUUUAAGUCAGGGGUGAAAUCCUGGAGCUCAACUCCAGAACUGCCUUUGAUACUGAGGAUCUUGAGUUCGGGAGAGGUGAGUGGAACUGCGAGUGUAGAGGUGAAAUUCGUAGAUAUUCGCAAGAACACCAGUGGCGAAGGCGGCUCACUGGCCCGGUACUGACGCUGAGGAGCGAAAGCGUGGGGAGCGAACAGG